GAAAAGAAACCAACAGGGAUUGCCCUAGUAACGGCGAGUGAAGCGGCAAUAGCUCAAAUUUGAAAUCUGGCCUCGGCCCGAGUUGUAAUUUGCAGAGGAUGUUUCUGGCGCGGUGCCUUCCGAGUUCCCUGGAACGGGACGCCACAGAGGGUGAGAGCCCCGUAUGGUUGGACACUAAGCCUGUGUGAAACUCCUUCGACGAGUCGAGUAGUUUGGGAAUGCUGCUCAAAAUGGGAGGUAAAUCUCUUCUAAAGCUAAAUACCGGCCAGAGACCGAUAGCGCACAAGUAGAGUGAUCGAAAGAUGAAAAGCACCUUGAAAAGGGGGUUAAACAGUACGUGAAAUUGUUGAAAGGGAAGCGCUUGUGACCAGACUUGCGCCGGGCGGCUCAUCCGGGGUUCUCCCCGGUGCACUCCGCCCGGCUCAGGCCAGCAUCGGUUCUCGUUGGGGGAUAAGAACGGCAGGAACGUGGCCCUCCUUCGGGUGGGUGUUAUAGCCUGCCGUACGAUACCCUGACGGGGACCGAGGUUCGCGCUCCGCAAGGAUGCUGG
rnacentral:rRNA from 1 species